CAGUAGCCGCGGUAAGACAGAGGAUGCAAGCGUUAUCCGGAAUGAUUGGGCGUAAAGCGUCUGUAGGUGGCUUUUCAAGUCCGCCGUCAAAUCCCAGGGCUCAACCCUGGACAGGCGGUGGAAACUACCAAGCUGGAGUACGGUAGGGGCAGAGGGAAUUUCCGGUGGAGAGGUGAAAUGCGUUGAGAUUGGAAAGAACACCAACGGUGAAAGCGCUCUGCUGGGCCGACACUGACACUGAGAGACGAAAUCUAGGGGAGCAAAUGGGAUUAGAUACCCCCGUAGUCCCUGUCUCUUAUAA
rnacentral:rRNA from 1 species